rnacentral:rRNA from 1 species
GCAACGCCUGCCCAGUGAACAAUUAAACGGCCGCGGUACCCUAACCGUGCAAAGGUAGCGUAAUCACCUGUCUAUUAAUUGUAGACCCGUAUGAAAGGCAAAAUGAAGGCCUAACUGUCUCUUAUAGUAAAUCAAUUAAACUGAUCUCCCAGUCCAAAAGCUGGAAUACUAACAUAAGACCAGAAGACCCUGUGAAGCUUAAACAAAACUAUUAAACCAAUUAAUAGCUACUUUCGGUUGGGGCGACCUUGGAAAAAAAAGGAACUUCCAAACACUAUGACCAUACCUCAUGCCUACUGGCCGACAGGCCAAAACUUCAGACCCAGCAAAGCUGACAAUUGAACCAAGUUACUCCAGGGAUAACAGCGCCAUCUUCUUCAAGAGCCCAUAUCAAAAAGAAGGUUUACGACCUCGAUGUUGGAUCAGGACAUCCUAGUGGUGCAGACGCUACUAAGGGUUCGUUUGUUCAACGAUUAACAGUCCUACGUGAUCUGAGUUCAGACCGGA